CGGAGAGUAGCGCAGCCUGGCUAGCGCGCUUGGUUUGGGACCAAGAGGUCGCCGGUUCAAAUCCGGCCUCUCCGACCA
rnacentral:tRNA from 1 species